rnacentral:rRNA from 1 species
CACGUAGGGGCGAGCGUUGUCCGGAAUUACUGGGCGUAAAGGGCGCGCAGGCUGUUAUGCGAGUCUGCUGUGAAAUGUACCGGCUCAACCGGUGCCUUGCGGCGGAUACUGCAUAGCUGGAGUACUGGAGAGGGAAGUGGAAUUCCCGGCGUAGCGGUGAAAUGCGUAGAUAUCGGGAGGAACACCGGUGGCGAAGGCGGCUUUCUGGCCAGUUACUGACGCUCAUGCGCGAAAGCUGGGGUAGCGAACCGGAUUAGAUAUCCG